rnacentral:lncRNA from 1 species
UUAAUCUUCUCCUUAUAUGUAUUAUGAUGCAAAAGCAUCACACACACAUCUUAGGCCACUGUCAUAGGGUCAAGGUACGAGAAAGAGUCAAAAUCCUCCUUCACUAAAAAUUUCACUGAAGCGUGAGUCAACCCCAACCUCAGGAGUCGACCCCGACCACAGAGCCGUAAAACUUCAUUUUUUGGACUUUCAGAGAGAGUCGACCUGCCCCAAGUCGAUUCCAGUUGACCUCGAGUCAACUCCGGCACGUUUUGAAGCGACUCCCACCAUUUUCUCACUUUUUUUCAUCUCGGAUGAACAGUAACCUGGACUGACAGUGGGUCACUUCAUCCCGGUUUUGAUCUACUUUUCGAACUCCAAAUUUUAUGAAUUUUUACCUAACAUUCUACACUCAUAGAGGAUUCCAAAGAGGUAUCAUGCAUUACUAUCGGAGGCCGUUUGACCUCCAAAACAAUUCGCUGAAGUUGGGACUUCGACAUAGUUUUUCUGUAGUGCCGGAAAAAUUUGUCGAAAUCCGAUUCUUCCUCUUUUAACCACCUCUACAACUCUUAUCCGACCCCUCUAGACUACAUCCACCCUUUGUAUAGCCUAAUAUCAUCAAAAGACUAAAUAGGGAUGGAUAUUUACCUUUUUCUUUUUAGAAAUCGAGGUCUUUGCGUAGAGGGGAAGGAGAUCU